AUUAGUUUGACGCUCGGUGAAAGGAGAGAAUUUGACAUUUUGAGCAUAGCUCUUCGUCGGAAAGGAGAAAGGGAAAAGUCCAAAGGAAGGAAAAGAAAUCGUCAACAACACGUGUGUAGUUAUAUUGCUGAAGUGUAUACACACACACACACACAUACACGAACG